rnacentral:rRNA from 1 species
GGGCUUGACAUCCCACGAACCUGCCUGAAAGGGCGGGGUGCCCGCAAGGGAGCGUGGAGACAGGUGGUGCAUGGCUGUCGUCAGCUCGUGUCGUGAGAUGUUGGGUUAAGUCCCGCAACGAGCGCAACCCUCACCCCUAGUUGCCACCGGGUAAAGCCGAGCACUCGAGGGGAACUGCCAGCGUCAAGCUGGAGGAAGGCGGGGAUGACGUCAAGUCAUCAUGCCCCUUACGUCCUGGGCUACACACGUGCUACAAUGGCCGGUACAAAGGGACGCGAGACCGCGAGGUGGAGCCAAUCCCAAAAAACUGGUCUAAGUUCAGAUUGCAGUCUGCAACUCGACUGCAUGAAGGAGGAAUCGCUAGUAAUCGCGCAUCAGCACGGCGCGGUGAAUACGUUCCCGGGCCUUGUACACACCGCCCGUCACACCACGAAAGCUGUCUGUACUCGAAGUCGCUGAG